UCAAUAUUUAAUGCAAAAUAGUCAAUAUUUAUUCUCAUGUUUAAAGAGUGCAUUAAAGGAGCUAUUCGUUAGUGUUUACACGACCAAGCCAGUGCUUCGUAUCCUUAUGUGGUCAUGGGUUUGAAGAGAGCUGACCAAACACAGGCCUCCAACCCUCCAGAGAGAGCCCACACAUAAAGCGAAAUCUUGAAAAAUAUUGACUUGCCACAACAUCCCCUUGACACACCAGUUUCAGCCGCAUUGCGUUUUGUUUCUACAAGAUAGAAGAGUGAAGGCUUCUUCAAACUAUCCCAACGACCUUCUGGCACUUGUGUUUGCACUUAGCGGCAGUAGGAACUCCCGAAAAAUUCAGCUAGGAGAAGACUCCAGCUCAGCCGUUACCCUGGGAAGGAUAGAGAGAUGAUGGAUGGUUGGCAUUUCACUAUGGAGUUACAGUUGUACACGAGAAGCUCACUCGCCCUCCCAGCCUUCCUCUCUGCUUUGCUUCUCCCCCAAGCUUUCGGUGGCAUCUUGCCAGAGGCUCUGAACGAGGACGGGACGAGCCACUGAGGCCUAAAAUUGUCCAUUUAUGCGCGGGACUGCACAGAGGAGGCGGAGCACCAUCUGAGAGUCUGGUGUUUUCAUCUUGGAAGACCAUAAGGUAAUCCGAGGAGAUAUUGGCGGCCGCCAGGUGGCAAGCCUCACCACUCUACCUGGCAGGUGACGUGAAGGACGGACAGAGUCCAGCUGUACUUUACUUACUUUGAAUUUGUCACUUCUUGCGCAAUCGGUUAUCCAAGAAAUAGUUUUUCCAAAUAUGGAAAUCCAAUGUCUGUAUAAAAAAACUUUUGCAAAAAUAUGCGGCACAUGUUUUGUUUACUGUAACUGUUAAAGGCCAGAUGGUUUCAUCAACUAUGUCCUCGCACACUGCAACAAUCUUUUUCGUGUUGCAUAAAUUAUACAAAGUGGCGUAAAAAUUUGCGAAACAAAAUAAUUUGUUUCCUCUUGGCAAAGACAAACCUUGCACAAUAGAUACAUUUGCUAAGGAGAACCUGUGAAAGCGGCACAGAAAUGACAAAAUGACCUUCGCAAUGAUAUUACUGUGUUUUGAUUGACACUAACAGAUUUAUCAAGUGGUCGAGGAAUAAGUUUUAUUAUUAUUGUGGUGAAUAACUUUACUGAAU